GCCAGGCGUGGUGGCUCACGCCUGUAAUCCCAGCACUUUGGGAGGCUGAGGUGGGUGGAUCACCUGAGGUCGGGAGUUCGAUAUCAGCCUGACCAACAUGGAGAAACCCCGCCUCCA
ensembl:misc_RNA Metazoa_SRP Metazoan signal recognition particle RNA